GUGCUCGCUUCAGCAGCACAUACACUGAAAUUGGAAUGAUACAGAGAAGAUUAGUAUGGUCCUUGGGCAAGGAUGACACACAAAUUAAUGAAGCAUUCCUUUUUUUU